GAAGAAGGCGGGGGGCGUGCUUAACACAUGCAAGUCGAACGGAAAGGCCCUGCUUUUGUGGGGUGCUCGAGUGGCGAACGGGUGAGUAACACGUGAGUAACCUGCCCUUGACUUUGGGAUAACUUCAGGAAACUGGGGCUAAUACCGGAUAGGAGCUCCUGCUGCAUGGUGGGGGUUGGAAAGUUUCGGCGGUUGGGGAUGGACUCGCGGCUUAUCAGCUUGUUGGUGGGGUAGUGGCUUACCAAGGCUUUGACGGGUAGCCGGCCUGAGAGGGUGACCGGCCACAUUGGGACUGAGAUACGGCCCAGACUCCUACGGGAGGCAGCAGUGGGGAAUAUUGCACAAUGGGCGGAAGCCUGAGGCAGCAACGCCGCGUGCGGGAUGACGGCCUUCGGGUUGUAAACCGCUUUCGCCUGUGACGAAGCGUGAGUGACGGUAAUGGGUAAAGAAGCACCGGCUAACUACGUG
rnacentral:rRNA from 1 species